AAAAAAAAAAACUCGAUCCAGAGAAUCCCCAAUCGCUCCGGUUCUCCUUCCUACGGCGUCGCUCCCUCCGUCAAAAUAAUCAGCGAAGAACGGCGACGAAGAUGGCGGCGGCCUCGACGCCGCUCGGCGUCGCUGCCCUCGUACUGGGCUUCGGACUCAGUGCCUCCGCGCUGGCCACUGGGCGCGGGGGCCCCCGAUCUCGGCCGCCACCUUGCUAGGGGCGGCGGGGCACCGACCUGCUCCGGACUCCGGAGCUGACGAGUAAGCGUGUGAGACGUGCAGGAGGUAGUACAACACUACAACUACAAACAAGGCUUAGCCGACGAGCCAGUGCCAGAGUCUCCCGAUCUGGCCACUGAUGCAGCUGAAUGGAGAGGAGCCUGAAGGAGGCAACGGUAUUUUGCUACAUAGGAAGCAAGCUGCGAUGGCAACCGUUAUUUUCAGCCAACAGACACGGGUGAACAGUGUAAAGUGAUUCCGUGAUUUAUUAUUUUCUUAUAUUCAAUUUGCUGUGGACCAUUUGUGUAUUUGUCAAAUUGCUCUGCCUCCAUUUGAAGAAAAAGUAAAUUCCAUUUUCGACAAUGUAUUUGAAAUUUUGAUAGUUUGAGCAAUAUUUUGAACUGAAUAUUGUGUAUUGAACUACACUUGAGAAGUUGAGAGCCAAACUGACCAGAUGGCCCAAUUUUUAGAGCUGUCAAAAUGUGGUUCAAUUUGGGAUAUCCAGUUUAAAAUGGCAUUCUACUUCUCAUAAUGUAGCUGUUCUUCGAGAUUUGGCUAAUCUUAUGAGCCAUCACAGCUGCUUGCUAACGGCUUGUAAGUGUCUAUUUCUGUGAGUUGAAUUCUUGUAGAUUUUAUCAUCGUUUCAGGUUAUGCAGAAGUCCAUUUUUGUUCCAAUCCAGGGAUACAUCAGGAAGCUGGAAGGAAAUCACUAGAAGUACUAGUGAAGAUUGGAUGUUUAAAGCAAAGCUACAAACUUGAUCGAGAAUCUAUAAGCCAGCUGGCCGCAGUGUCUCCUGUCUCCUGGGAAGUCGAGCUCAGAUUAGAUUGUCUAGUAGUUUUUUUGUUGAUAUGGUUACCUAUAGAGCAUGAUAGGUAAUGAGCAUAUAAUCUCUUAGGCCACCGAAGCCUACACCCACUAAUCUUUGGGGUCCAACUUCCAAGAGGGUGCUUAUGCCAAUAAUCUGGCAGGAGCAUUUUUAUAUCUGAAGAAAAGGCACGAACCGUUUUGUCAUUUUUUUUCGUUUUGAAAGCUUACCUUAUCAGAAGGGCCCAGUGACUGGAUGAUCGGUACAAGCUUUAUAUUGAGCUUGGCAAUUAAGCAAGGUAUGAUUCUUUCUUAUGGUACAGCUUGUUGAAAACUUGCGAUCCAAUGAAGGAAAAUAUUCUUAGUUCAUCUCUUUUGGAACUCUCAUUGCAGAUGAUACAGAAUUCUGUCCUUGC